CAGGUGAGGCCCUGCUAGUUGCCAAGCGGCUUUGAGAGGCACUAUCUAUGAUUUGGCUCGUGUGGGGUACGUGGCCAUUGACAUUAUGGCGGGGUGAUGGCCUCUCCGUGACUUGUAAUAGCAUAAGACAGAAUGGGAGUGACAAGUGAGGCCCUCUCUAUGCAACCGAACGAGGCGGCUACCUAUGAAUUGGCCCGAGGGAAUGCCA